GUGUACCCGCGGCAAGACGGAAAGACCCCGUGAACCUUUACUAUAGCUUGACACUGAACAUUGAGCCUUGAUGUGUAGGAUAGGUGGGAGGCUUUGAAGCGUGGACGCCAGUCUGCGUGGAGCCAACCUUGAAAUACCACCCUUUAAUGUUUGAUGUUCUAACGUUGGCCCCUGACCGGGGUUGCGGACAGUGUCUGGUGGGUAGUUUGACUGGGGCGGUCUCCUCCCAAAGCGUAACGGAGGAGCACGAAGGUUAGCUAAUCCUGGUCGGACAUCAGGAGGUUAGUGCAAUGGCAUAAGCUAGCUUGACUGCGAGCGUGACGGCGCGAGCAGGUGCGAAAGCAGGUCAUAGUGAUCCGGUGGUUCUGAAUGGAAGGGCCAUCGCUCAACGGAUAAAAGGUACUCCGGGGAUAACAGGCUGAUACCGCCCAAGAGUUCAUAUCGACGGCGGUGUUUGGCACCUCGAUGUCGGCUCAUCACAUCCUGGGGCUGAAGUAGGUCCCAAGGGUAUGGCUGUUCGCCAUUUAAAGUGGUACGCGAGCUGGGUUUAGAACGUCGUGAGACAGUUCGGUCCCUAUCUGCCGUGGGCGCUGGAGAAUUGAGGGGGGCUGCUCCUAGUACGAGAGGACCGGAGUGGACGCAUCACUGGUGUUCGGGUUGUCAUGCCAAUGGCACUGCCCGGUAGCUAAAUGCGGAAGAGAUAAGUGCUGAAAGCAUCUAAGCACGAAACUUGCCCCG
rnacentral:rRNA from 1 species